CACUCGAAGAGUUGCAUCAGCUGCUUUUACCUGACAUUUGUGAUCUUUCUAUCACUCCUCCAUCUUCUGUUCAAACCAAUUUCGUCUCCUACUUCGUUCCAGAUUUUGUGAAGCCAGGACACGACCAGUACGUUUAUAGACAUGCCAUUGGAAUGUACAACACUUUGAGUCUGACUCUGCUCUGUGAAAAGUUUGCACCCAGAGCGAUUCUUAUAUUGUAAGAUGUUGUGUUAAAGGCUCUCUGUUGGAAGUGAAUGACAGGCUAAUCAAACAUUCAAAAUUUGCUGAACUCUUCAACAGGGAAGGGUACAUUGCCAUUAUCAUGCCAAAGCCAGCAGAUUGGCCGAAGGUCAAAGCUUCAUUGUUGGGCCUUGAGGAAUACAAGAAACUGAGAGAAAAUAGCUGAGCUAUUUGGGAUGCUUGGAAAAGUUUUAUAGACUUCGAGAAUAACAAGGAAUUCAAGCUUCAUUUGGAAUCCUCCGGUCACCAAUUCUUUGAUGGGCCUCACCCCCAGGUUAAUUUCCUAACUGUAUCUAGUUCUUAUCUUGUCAUUUUUGUUUCUCCACAAAUAGAAUAAGAAACAGAACAGUAUCAGAUUAUGCUUUUUUUGCUAAUACUAGUAAGAAUAGGUGAGUUAAUUUUUUACCUUAAAAUUCCCUUUGUGAUACUGAAUAUUGAGGUCUGUGUUAUGCAAGUGGCACAAUAUCGUGUGGAUGAGUUAUGCUACCUAUUGGGGCAGACCUAGGAUGUCAAGAAAACUGCUUUUUUUUUUUUUGUUUUUUGCCAUAGAACAUGUUGUGUUGCAAGAGAGCUGUGCUUGCAAAUUCUUUGA